GCUGGGCAUGGUGACGCAUGCCUGUAAUCCCAGCUAGUUGGGAGGCUGAGGCAGGAGAAUCGCUUGAAUCUGGGAGGCAGAGGUUGCAGUGAGCCAAGAUCGUGCCACUGCACUCUGGCCUGGGUGACAGAGCGAGACUCAGUCUCAA
rnacentral:SRP_RNA from 2 species